rnacentral:RNase_P_RNA from 1 species
UGAGGCGCCUGGACGGUCGCUCCGCCGCAAGGUGGGGAGGAAAGUCCGGGCUCCACGGGUCAGGGUGGUUGUCAACGGCAACCGGCCGCGAGGCCAGGGAAAGUGCCACAGAGAACAGACCGCCUCGUGCGGGCGCCUUCGCGGGCGGCCGCGCGGUAAGGGUGAAACGGUGCGGUAAGAGCGCACCGCGGACCUGGUGACAAGUCCGGCACGGCAAACCCCACCCGGAGAAAGAUCAAAUAGGGAAGGACACGUGGCGACGACCCUCGUCCAGGGCCUUCCGGGUAGAUCGUUCGAGGCCGGGCGCGAGGUCGGUCCCAGAGAAAUGGCCGUCGCCCCUCGCGGGGAGACAGAACCCGGCUUACAGGGCGCCUCACGCC